rnacentral:lncRNA from 1 species
GAAGAGCCUUUUCUGACAGGCACCAUGGGAAGGACACAAGGUAAAGUUAGAACCUCCUAUGCAACAGAGAUUGCCUGAAGCCUUGCCCUCCCGGUCUCCUACACAUGCACCAAGAACCCUCAGGUGAUCUCAGACCCUUCUGCCCCUUAAUCCCUCCCAAGGAUCCUGCUUAGGGAUGAGGUCACAGCCGACCUCUAGCCAAACAUUAUCAUCAACUUCUCAUCCAAAGUCUUUGGUUGACGAUGAGGAGGCCAGCAAGAGAAAAGCUGCAAUGUGAAUUCGGGCCUUUGUGACAUUCAUGUCUCACUCUCUCACCCAGAAACAGGACUUCAGUGGAAAAUAUGAGAGAUGCAUCUGGAAGAGGCUCUGCAUGAGCAGCACACAUGCAGAACAGUAGCAAAUAAACCUGGAAACGACCCUCAAGAGACCUGAAAGGAAGAGAAAUGGAUUCUUGAGUGAUUUACAAGUACCUCCUGGGAUGAAGAGAUGGUGGUGUUCCAAUGCAGUGAAACGUUAGGAUAGAUGUGGACACGGGAAUUCAGGAAAUAGUACAUGGGUUAUAAAUCGUUAAGGCCCAUCUAGAUAAAAUCUAACAGGUGCACACUGUUCAUCUAAAGAAACCCCACACACAUCCAUCUGCCAGGCCUUCAGAGGGCAAAGACCCCUCUCCCCAAAAUCACUUCACAUGCACUGGCUGGUUUAGUCUAAAUCCCACGUACAGUUUCCAGUCUCAGGACUCAAGCCCACACCUCUUCAAAUCCCUCAGCAUUAUCGGGGAUUCAGUAGGGCUCAAGACUUACCUUCAAUGGAUCUACUAGUUACCUUAGAAGAGGGGAACUCCAGGAGAGGCAGCAAGUAAGCACCUCCCUGCAGGAGAAAGUUUCUGCCUGGAACUUUCAGAUCUGUCUCAGCACAGAAGCAAGCUGAAGUUCUCUCAGUGCUGGGAAAGAUGCAAAACUCAAAAAGACUACAGAGUGACCCACUUUAAGGUAUUUUUAAAAGUUUUAAGAGCAGCAAUCCCCUAGGCUCAUCCCCCAAAGUGAGGUAUUUAAAUUAAAGAUGCUGAUGGGAAGAGCUUUUCAAAAUGCAUUCCAUUCACCACAAAAAAGUGCAUUUUUCCAUUUUUUUAAAAUAUUCUAACAACAAAAUCUCUAAAAAGAUUAUCCAACCAGCCUUUCUCAAAGUUAUAAGAGGUUGGAAUUUAACUUAACACUGGUGGUCCCAGAAAAAAAAGAUUUUUGCAAAUUAAAAAUGUCAUUGGAAGGAUACUGAGGCAUAUCAGGGGGGAAAAAAAUGGAUGGUUUUCCACAAAGGUGGUAUUUUAAAAACUCAAAAGCUGUUAUAAUUAAAUCUGCAGACUUGUUACACCAUUGGCCUUCACUGGUGCCUGUGACAUUGAUGGAAGAAAUCAUUUACCAAAAACCGAUACACUUCAAAACACUUUCUGCAUGGCUCUUCUCUUCCUUUUUUUAAAAAAGCUUUUUCUUUUUUUAAAGGAGAAGCCCUUCCCAACAUACACAUUACCAUACCACUUCCCUAGAAGGUAGAAAAGGUGAUGUAAGACAGUAGCGUGGUUAAACUAUGAUUUAUUGAGGGCAAAUUACAGAUCAUGCAGUCUUUUUUCAACACACGUUCAUUUUCUAUCUUCACUCAGUCUAACCCACAGCAGGUAGAUGGACCAACCAGUUGCUCACCUGGCAACCUCAGUGAACUGUGCAUCGCAACACAAACAGCAAGUGAGAAGGAGUCAGAGAGCAGAGCAGAGGGCCGUGCUCCCUGCCCUGUGUCCACAUGUGUUCAGUGAAGAAGCACCAACACCACCAAAUCACCCAGAUGUGGCUGUUUCCAAUAACAUGUUUAAAAUUCUGUACCUUCACCAAGGGCUGUUAAAUCUGAAUUAAUUCAGCCAUAGGCUCAACCUGUAUUUUUAUGGGAUCUCUUUAAAUGCUUUUCUACAUGAAUCAUAGACUCUUAGAAUUGAAGGCGAUGUUAUAAAAGUCAAUCCAUCUGGGUAAAAAUAAAAAGCACACACACUUAGGCUCGUUUAGGCACAGAAAACAGCUGGAGGAUAUAGGACGAAAUGUCUUCAGCUGCUUCUGCAGAGGGUGUAGGAGGCAAAGGGAAGGGGCAGACUUUUUACUUCAUGUAAUUCUGUACUUUUGUUCUUUAACAAGAGCAUCACCAGCUGCCCUCCAUUAGCCCCUGCACUCAUCCUCUCCUACCCCUCAAGCAUCUUCAUCUCACAGGAAGGCUCCCCUGGGGGCCACCACCUUGCCUCCUUCUACACAGGGAAGUAGCAGCUUCCAGACACAGCUUCCAUUUCUACUGAUCCCUAAUGAAACCCUAAAUGCCCAUGUCGAGCCUGGAAUGCAUCCUGGGGCUCUCUGGAAUAUGCCAAAGGUUCAUAGGUCAGUACCGCCAGCCAUUCCACCAACUUCUCAACCCAAUGUGCCCCAGUGGAAUUCCUGGUUCUCCCAAUCUCUUCUUCUUUCCCACACUGGGUUCCCUCCUUGAAAUGUCCAUGUCAGAAUGCAGGGAGUCACACUCGGUUCCCUCCCUGCACCUGCCGUAUCCAGCGAGUCUGCAGGUCUCCUUGAAUCCCUCUCACAGCAGGUUUCUUCUCAAAUCACCACUACAGUCUUCUCCUGAGUCACUGGAAUCACCAAGGUGACCUCCUGAUUAGCAUACCUGCUGCAAGUACUUCCUGCCUCCAACCCACCACAGGGCACAUGGUCUACUUGAUACACAAAGCUGAUGAAGUGCAUUGUCUUCAAUGAGCAACCACUAUGUGCCUGAUACUAUUCAAAGCCCUGAAGAUAGAGCAUCAACCAAACAUUGUCCCCAUGCUCAGGGAGCUCAUGUUCUAGUGAUGAAACUGAAUUUAUGACUCCUUGUUGCUUCGGGUAAAAUGCAGACAUCUUGGGUAGCACACAAAGCCUUUCCUGACCCCAGCCCCAACAACCUCACCUACCUUACUGGUUACCAUUUGUUCCCCCACCCCCUUCCCGAGACUCCAGAUAUUCUGGACCAUUGCCACUUCCCUGAAUGAGCACUGCUUUCUCACUUCUGUAUACACUGUUCCCACUGUUCCCUUUUCUGCCUAGUUACCUUGUCUUCUGGGUAAAUCUCUAAGUGUCUCCUCCUCCAGGAAGCCUUCCAUUGCACCAGAGUCCUGGGCACUUUGCACUUCGUCCUAUGUUUAUGGAUUUAUCUCCCCACAGGCUCAGAAACUUCUUUAGAAAAAGCCCUUCUCUACCCUUCAUCUCUUUCCCAUGCUGGCACACUGAUGCAUCAACAUCAAAUACUUAGGGAUCUGCUUCCUCAGAAGCUCGAUAACCACGCUGCCACAUCCCAGGGUCCUGUAGGGCAGACAAGGUCGAAACGGUUACCAGCAUUGAUGGUGUGAGAAUGGGGCAGUGGAAGCCCCAGUGCAAAACCAGAGAUAAAGCUAUACAACAGCCCUACCCCCACUCAUGCCCUGCACACCUCUGCUUUCAGGUGCCCUCCAAUAUAUGCAGACACAAAGCCUUAACCUCUGCCCCCAAAAGGCUCACAGUCACUAGAAAGUAUUGCUUCAGAUUUUAAAGUUAAUUUUUCAAGUCCAGCUGAUCCCCUGGAGGCCUCCCUUAGAUGCUCUCUUUGAAAACAAGCUUCUGGUCUUUCCAUGGAUGUGAUUCAGCGAGAUCUUGGCUUCUUUUUUAUUCUUUAUUUAUUCUUGUUAUUCCUGCUAAUC